CCUGUUUGCUUCGCAGCGAAGCUUACGUGAUGACCUUGCGAAGUGUGUUGCGCUCUGGUCGCGUCUGCGUCAGCGGCAGUCGCUGCGGCUGCGUGGCGGGUUGUCCAGGUAACCACGGGAGUUGUCGCUGCCUGGUGGCAUCUGAGAGACAGGUGUUCGUCAUGCAGUUGAAGCACCUGAGAACCCUGCUGAGCCCUCAGGAUGGAGCUGCAAAGGUGACCUGCAUGGCUUGGUCCCAGAACAAUGCCAAAUUUGCUGUCUGCACAGUGGACCGAGUGGUGUUGCUAUACGAUGAGCAUGGGGAGCGGAGAGAUAAAUUCUCCACCAAACCAGCUGACAUGAAGUAUGGCAGGAAGAGCUAUAUGGUGAAAGGCAUGGCUUUUUCUCCUGAUUCCACUAAAAUUGCCAUAGGACAGACCGACAACAUCAUCUACGUGUACAAGAUUGGAGAAGAUUGGGGUGACAAGAAAGUCAUCUGUAACAAAUUCAUCCAGACGAGUGCUGUCACGUGUCUGCAGUGGCCAGCAGAGUACAUCAUUGUCUUUGGACUGGCUGAAGGGAAGGUUCGUUUAGCAAACACUAAAACUAAUAAAUCAUCUACCGUCUAUGGGACAGAUUCUUAUGUGGUAUCACUGACGACAAAUUGCUCUGGGAAAGGAAUUCUCUCUGGUCAUGCAGAUGGUACCAUUGUUAGGUAUUUCUUUGAUGAUGAAGGCUCUGGAGAGUCACAGGGGAAGUUGGUUAACCACCCAUGCCCACCCUAUGCCUUGGCUUGGGCAACCAACAGCAUUGUGGCUGCAGGCUGUGAUCGGAGAAUUGUGGCCUAUGGAAAGGAAGGCCAUGUGCUACAAACUUUUGAUUACAGCCGUGACCCUCAGGAGCGGGAGUUCACCACAGCUGCUGCAAGUCCCGGGGGCCAGUCUGUUGUGUUGGGAAGUUAUGACAGACUUAGGGUGCUCAACUGGAGCCCUCGAAGAAGCAUCUGGGAAGAGGCAAAGCCCAAGGAGAUUGCCAACUUAUACACCGUCACUGCCUUGGCCUGGAAACGGGAUGGCUCACGACUCUGUGCGGGCACACUCUGUGGUGGAGUGGAACAGUUUGACUGCUGCCUCCGGAGGAGCAUUUACAAGAAUAAGUUUGAGUUGACGUAUGUGGGACCUAGCCAGGUGAUUGUGAAGAACCUGUCGUCGGGGACCCGAGUGGUACUCAAGUCACACUAUGGCUAUGAGGUGGAAGAGGUGAAAAUCCUGGGAAAGGAACGUUACCUGGUGGCCCACACAUCAGACACGCUGCUGCUGGGGGACCUGAACACUAAUCGCCUUAGUGAGGUAGCUUGGCAGGGAUCUGGUGGCAAUGAGAAGUAUUUCUUUGAAAAUGAAAAUGUGUGCAUGAUCUUCAAUGCUGGAGAGCUAACCCUGGUGGAAUAUGGGAGUAAUGAUACCCUGGGUUCUGUACGUACUGAAUUCAUGAACCCCCACCUCAUCAGUGUCCGUAUUAAUGAGAGGCGUCAACGAGGAAUGGAAGACAAUAAGAAAUUGGCUUAUCUUGUUGAUAUUAAGACAAUUGCCAUAGUGGAUCUGAUUGGUGGCUACAACAUUGGCACCAUCAGCCACGAGAGCCGUGUGGAUUGGCUGGAACUUAAUGAAACUGGGCACAAGCUUCUAUUCAGGGACCGGAAACUUCGUUUACAUCUGUACGAUAUUGAAAGCUGCACUAAGACAAUGAUCCUCAACUUCUGCUCCUACGUGCAGUGGGUCCCAGGAAGUGAUGUGCUCGUAGCUCAGAACCGAAACAGCUUGUGUGUGUGGUACAACAUUGAGGCACCUGAGAGGGUCACCACGUCCUCUAUUAGGGGCGAUGUGGUAGGUCUGGAGCGGGGCGGGGGGAAGACCGAGGUGAUGGUGACCGAAGGUGUGACUACGGUUGCCUACACGCUGGACGAGGGCCUGAUCGAGUUUGGAACAGCCAUUGAUGACGGCAACUACAGCCGGGCCACAGCCUUCUUGGAGACUCUGGAAAUGACCCCAGAAACAGAGGCAAUGUGGAAAACCUUGAGCAAACUGGCGCUCGAGGCACGGCAGCUCCACAUCGCCGAGAGGUGCUUUUCUGCUUUGGGCCAUGUAGCAAAAGCUCGAUUCCUGCAUGAAACCAAUGAGAUUGCAGAUCAAGUGUCUCGGGAAUAUGGUGGAGAAGGAACAGACUUUUACCAGGUCCGAGCACGCCUAGCCAUGCUGGAGAAGAACUACAAGCUGGCUGAAAUGAUCUUCUUGGAACAGAAUGCCGUUGAGGAGGCCAUGGACAUGUACCAGGAGCUGCACCGUUGGGAUGAGUGUAUCGCAGUGGCUCAGGCCAAGGGGCACCCGGCCCUGGAGAAGCUGCGCCGGGGUUACUACCAGUGGCUGAUGGACACACAGCAAGAGGAGCGAGCCGGUGAACUACAGGAGAGCCAGGGGGAUGGCCUAGCAGCCAUCAGCCUCUACCUCAAAGCUGGGCUCCCUGCCAAAGCUGCUCGACUGGUGCUGGCCCAGGAGGAACUGCUGGCCAACACCGAGCUGGUAGAACACAUCACUGCAGCCCUUAUCAAGGGGGAGCUGUACGAAAGGGCAGGUGAUCUCUUUGAGAAGAUUCGAAACCCACAGCGGGCCCUGGAGUGCUACUGUAAAGGCAGUGCAUUCAUGAAAGCGGUGGAGCUGGCUCGACUGGCAUUCCCAGUGGAAGUGGUGAGACUGGAAGAGGCGUGGGGGGAUCAUCUGGUGCAGCAGAAGCAGCUCGAUGCAGCCAUUAAUCACUACAUUGAAGCCAGGUGCUCUAUUAAGGCGGUUGACGCUGCCCUGGGCGCCCGUCAGUGGAAGAAAGCCGUUUAUAUAUUAGAUCUCCAGGACCAGAGCAUUGCAUCCAAAUACUACCCCCGCGUGGCCCAACACUAUGCAGCUCUGCAGGAGUAUGAGAUUGCUGAGGAGCUCUACAUUAAGGGAGACCGGACAAAAGAUGCAAUAGACAUGUACACUCAGGCUGGCCGCUGGGAGCAAGCCCACAAGCUGGCAAUGAAGUGCAUGAGACCAGAAGAUGUGUCGGUGCUGUACAUCACCCAGGCUCAGGAGAUGGAGAAGCAGAGCAAGUACCGUGAGGCAGAAAGGCUCUACGUGACAGUGGAAGAGCCUGAUCUUGCCAUCACCAUGUUCAAAAAGCACAAGUUGUAUGAUGAUAUGAUCCGCCUGGUAGGGAAGCACCACCCAGAUCUCCUCGGUGACACACACCUACACCUGGGCAAGGAGCUGGAGGCUGAAGGCCGACUGCAGGAGGCUGAGUAUCACUACCUCGAGGCUCAGGAGUGGAAGGCAACAGUGAACAUGUACCGGUCCAAUGGGCUUUGGGAGGAGGCCUACCGGGUGGCCAAGGCUCACGGAGGAGCUAAUGCCCACAAACACGUGGCCUAUCUGUGGGCAAAGAGUCUGGGAGGAGAGUCUGCAGUUAGACUGCUUAAUAAGCUGGGACUCCUGGAAGCUGCCAUUGACCACGCCGCUGACAACUGCUCAUUUGAAUUUGCUUUUGAACUCUCCCGGCUGGCCCUCAAGCACAAAACCCCUGAGAUACAUCUCCGAUACGCUAUGUACCUGGAGGAUGAGGGUAAAUUUGAAGAGGCUGAAGCUGAAUUCAUCAGGGCUGGUAAACCCAAGGAAGCAGUCCUCAUGUUUGUCCAUAACCAGGAUUGGGAGGCAGCUCAGCGUGUGGCCGAGGCCCACGAUCCUGACAGUGUCGCCGAGGUGCUUGUGGGGCAGGCCCGGGGGGCCUUGGAGGAGAAGGACUUUCAGAAAGCAGAAGGACUGCUGCUUCGGGCCCAGAGACCGGGCCUAGCCCUCAAUUAUUAUAAGGAGGCUGGACUAUGGAGUGAUGCCCUGCGGAUCUGCAAGGACUACGUGCCGGGCCAGCUGGAGGCUCUGCAGGAAGAGUAUGAGCGGGAAGCCACCAAGAAGGGGGCCAGGGGCGUGGAGGGCCUAGUGGACCAAGCUCGACAGUGGGAGCAGGCUGGAGAGUAUAGCCGUGCAGUCGACUGCUACCUCAAGGUGCGGGACUCAGGCAGCAGCAGCCUAGUGGAAAAGUGCUGGAUGAAGGCAGCUGAACUCGCCAUCAAAUUUUUGCCUCCCCAACGCAGUCUGGAAGUAGUUCGGGCUGUGGGACCCCAGCUGAUUGGAAUUGGAAAGCACAGUGCAGCUGCAGAGCUCUACCUGAACCUGGACCUAGUCAAGGAAGCGAUCGACGCUUUCAUCGAGGGUGAGGAGUGGAACAAGGCUAAGCGCGUGGCCAAGGAGUUAGAUCCCCGGUAUGAAGACUACGUGGACCAGCAUUAUAAAGAGUUCCUCAAGAACCAGGGCAAAGUGGACUCGCUGGUGGGUGUGGAUGUGGUGGCUGCUUUGGACCUGUACGUGGAGCAGGGCCAGUGGGAUAAGUGCAUUGAAACGGCUACCAAGCAGAACUACAAGAUUCUGCACAAGUACGUGGCUUUGUAUGCGACUCACCUGAUCCGAGAGGGCGGCUACAGGCAGGCACUAGCCCUGUAUGUGCAGCAUGGAGCUCCUGCUAACCCACAGAACUUCAACAUCUACAAAAGGAUCUUCACGGACAUGGUGAGCUCACCUGAGACCAACAGUGCUGAGGCCUAUCACAACUGGGCUGAUCUUCGUGACGUGCUCUUUAACUUGUGUGAAAACCUGGUGAAGUCUAGUGAGGCAAACUCUCCAGCCCAUGAGGAGUUUGAGACGAUGCUGCUGAUUGCUCAUUACUAUGCCACUCGCUCAGCUGCCCAGAGUGUCAAACAGCUGGAAACUGUGGCUGCCAGGCUUUCUGUUUCGCUCUUACGCCAUACCCAACUCCUACCUGCAGACAAGGCCUUCUAUGAAGCAGGCAUUGCUGCCAAGGCAGUUGGCUGGGAGAACAUGGCAUUCAUCUUCCUCAACCGCUUUUUGGAUCUGACUGAUGCAAUCGAAGAAGGGACUCUGGAUGCCCUUGACCACUCUGACUUUCAGGAUACAGACAUUCCCUUUGAGGUGCCACUCCCAGCCAAGCAGCACAUACCGUGAAAGUAGAAGCAGAGAAAAAAGAAAACUAAGGUGGUGACCAUGAACCCCAUCCAAGGAGGAUCAUGUAUGGGUAAAAGAUGAUGCACAGGACAACAGUUAAGUAAGACUUCAAACUCCCCACCUUCCACUUGCCCUGCCCUGCGUGAAGCUGCUGCUCCUUCUGUCCUUCCCAGGAGGCUCAGAGGGAAGAGGUUCGAGACUGGGUACUCACAGUCUCAAUGGACCAGCGGCUGGAGCAGGUUUUGCCUCGGGAUGAGCGUGGUGCCUACGAAGCUUCCCUGGUGGCAGCGAGCACUGGAGUUCGGGCACUACCCUGCCUCAUUACAGGAUACCCCAUUCUGAGGAACAAAAUUGAAUUUAAGCGGCCAGGGAAGGCAGCUAACAAGGACAACUGGAAUAAGUUCCUCAUGGCUAUCAAG